GGAGAGGGAUUCUGGCUCAGUAGAAGAGCUUCUGCUUUGCAUGCAGAAUGCCCAGGUUCAAUCCCUGGCCUCUCCA